rnacentral:ncRNA from 1 species
CCUUUGGAGAAGUAUACAAACUAUAGUAGCUAUUCUUUGAAUGGUGAAAUAGGCUUUGGUGAAUUAGGAA